rnacentral:rRNA from 1 species
UACAGAGGAUGCAAGCGUUAUCCGGAAUUAUUGGGCGUAAAGAGCUCGUAGGUGGCUUGUCGCGUCUGCCGUGAAAUCCCGUGGCUUAACUGCGGGUCUGCGGUGGAUACGGGCAGGCUAGAGGCUGGUAGGGGCAAGCGGAAUUCCUGGUGUAGCGGUGAAAUGCGCAGAUAUCAGGAGGAACACCGGUGGCGAAGGCGGCUUGCUGGGCCAGUUCUGACGCUGAGGAGCGAAAGCGUGGGGAGCGAACAGG